rnacentral:rRNA from 1 species
GAUGAACGCUGGCGGCGUGCCUAAUACAUGCAAGUCGAGCGAACAGACGAGGAGCUUGCUCCUCUGACGUUAGCGGCGGACGGGUGAGUAACACGUGGAUAACCUACCUAUAAGACUGGGAUAACUUCGGGAAACCGGAGCUAAUACCGGAUAAUAUAUUGAACCGCAUGGUUCAAUAGUGAAAGACGGUUUUGCUGUCACUUAUAGAUGGAUCCGCGCCGCAUUAGCUAGUUGGUAAGGUCACGGCUUACCAAGGCGACGAUGCGUAGCCGACCUGAGAGGGUGAUCGGCCACACUGGAACUGAGACACGGUCCAGACUCCUACGGGAGGCAGCAGUAGGGAAUGUUCCGCAAUGGGCGAAAGCCUGACGGAGCAACGCCGCGUGAGUGAUGAAGGUCUUCGGAUCGUAAAACUCUGUUAUUAGGGAAGAACAAAUGUGUAAGUAACUAUGCACGUCUUGACGGUACCUAAUCAGAAAGCAACGGCUAACUACGUG